rnacentral:rRNA from 1 species
UACAGAGGGUGCAAGCGUUAAUCGGAAUUACUGGGCGUAAAGCGUGCGUAGUCGGCUUUUCAAGUCGGAUGUGAAAGCCCCGGGCUCAACCUGGGAAUUGCAUUCGAUACUGGAUAGCUAGAGUUCGGCAGAGGGAAGUGGAAUUUCUGGUGUAGCGGUGAAAUGCGUAGAUAUCAGAAGGAACAUCAGUGGCGAAGGCGACUUCCUGGACCAGAACUGACGAUCAGGCACGAAAGCGUGGGGAGCAAACAGG